AGAAGAUAUCUAUUUCAAGUACAAUAUGUAUAAGACAAAUUAAAAAUAAGCGGUAGGCAAGGUCAAAUCAAACAUAUAAUUUUACAGAAACUAGCCUUAGACAAUAACUAAAACCAUGGAAAGGAAUGAUUUAUUCUGGAUAUUGGCUGCUAAAGAGCACUGACCCAUAUAUAGAAUGCUUUGGUAAGAAGAGACUCAAUUUCUUAGACUAAACCCCAAAGAUACAGACUUUUGAUGAAUUUAGAUAACAGAGGGUCACUUGAAUCUUCAUUUUAGGCACCUAUUUUGGAAAUGUGAGGAAAAAAGUCAGUUUAGUGGAAAUUGGAGGGCUUCCAAUAAAAACAGUCUUGUAAAUUCAUUCUUUGAAGACUCUUCUGCUCAAAAGCAAUAGCAAUGGCAGACUAAAUACAAAAAGAGAUGACUAAAAAGAUAGAGCCACAGUCAAAAAUUAGUUAAACAUCUCCAAGGACCAUAAAUACAAGAAAAGCAAAAUGCAAUAAGCAGGUUGGAAACCAUGGGGCCUGAAAGUCUUUAGAUCCAGAAGUCGACUGAGGCAACUAGAACUUCUAAUCUCUCAGCAGAACUGACUUCGUGUGAAAGACAAAGGCCAGACUUGCUGCCUGGAAGUGGAAGCAGGGCUCUCUCAUCUGUGUUGAGAAAGGCACUCAUCUGUGUAUCUAGCGAGACGGGAGAAAGUGGUCAUUUUAGAACAAGCCACCACAAGCCAGGGCAAGUUGAGCAGUGAAGUGGCAGCCUGCUGUGUUGGGGUGAUGGCCUCACUUUUGUCAUAUUAAUGUGAGAUACAUAAGCAGAGUCUCACUGUGUCGCCCAGGCUGGAGUGCAACGGCGCGAUCUCAGCGGCUCACUGCAACCUCAGCCUCCUGGUUCAAGCAAUUCUCCUGCCUCAGCCUCCUGAGUAGCUGGGAUUGCAGAUGCGCACCAGUAUUAUCACAAUUUAAAAAAGGGUUUUGUAAAAUAUUAACUCUCAAUCUCCACUAAACCUAAAACAUCUCAUAUACACUCUAAUAUCAAAAAACAAAUGGUUUAACUGUAUUUAAACAGUGGGAAUAAACAUAGAGAGGUCAUUAUGUCAAUAUCAAGUUCACUCUAAUGUGUGAGUAAAUUUUAUGAUUAAGAAGUGUUGUCUAAUUGUUUUCUAAGGCAGUGGGACUCACCUAGCACAGCUGUGAAAAUUCCACAUCUUUUCACACUGAAGUUUAAAUUGAAAAAUAGAGGCCAUGUAAGUUUAUGAAGUAUGGUGAUAAAGUUAUUUCGUGACCGUUUUUUUUAAAUGUCUAUCAAUGGAAAUACUGUAACUGAUGUGGUGGUAAUAUUUAGCUACCAGAAAAAAACCAUGGCUAAGCCUUAUGAAUAUUAUCACUUCUCCCUGUAUAGGCCUGCACUGGAAAAGUCAUUCAUUCAACUACAGUAUUACACCUCUCAUGGUAACCAUUACUGGAGGCUGAUUCUUUACCUCUCCACCUCCUUUAAUCUGUAACAAGAGAGUGAUGGCUACAAUUCCACAGACUUUAAACACUGGUCAGCAUUUAAGUUUUUCUUCUAUCUUUCAGGAGGCACUAAGAACAUAUUUUGCACAAAAAACACUAAUAAGAUUGCAGAAUAAAAGUCUCAAUCAUGCAUAUAUUCUUUCCCCACUUCUUUUACUCUUCUGUUGAGUUAGUGCUUAAAACAAAAUACCGCACCUUUCUCCAUCAAUUUCCUCCAUGAAAUUCAAAGUAUUCAGGUGAGGAUAGGUUAUUUUCACAUCCAGCCUGUGUAUCUCGCUGCAUCAUGAGAAGCUCAGCUGCUGCUGUUGUUUUGUUUUUGUCUGAAGGCAGGAUGUGUUUGAUUCUCUUUUUAAAGUUACUCAAGAGAAAAUGUUGACUGCUGUAAUAAAAAUCUGGAUGAAAUUGUAGUACAAUGUGUUCUGAGACUCAUACUCUAGGAAAUGUAUGCAGAGUACACUGAGAUUAAUAAAUGAAGUGGAAAAAUCUUCUAUAUUAAAAUGUUUUUCUCUUGAAA
rnacentral:lncRNA from 10 species